GUGCUCCCUUCGGCAGCACAUAUAGUAAAAUUGGAACGAUACAGAGAUUAGCAUGGCCCCUGUGCAAGGAUGACACGCAAGUGGAAAGAACAAGUUGGGAAAUGU